UUGAUCAGUUAAGCCUUGAAGAAAUACAAGUCCCCACUUAGUCAAAGCACGCACGCGUACACAAAUUUGUAGCAGACCAGCAGUAUCACCGAGUAGCCUCCCCUGCUUUCCCAUCUAUGCUAGCUCUAGCUUACUCUACUCUUAUCAACCGAGCCGAUCUCCUGUGCUCUUCUCUAUCAAGCCGACUCAUUCACGACGAAUUUGCCAUCAUAGCGAAGCUUGAACGCUGCAUCCCUGUACUCCAACCCCAGUGACCAUGGAUCCGACCACCAUGCCCUUGUACUACACAACGAGGCCGGCGGUGUACACACCUGCUACCGACUUCUCCAUCCUGUCCAUGCAUGCUCCUUUUCCCCAUCCAUAACAAUGCUUGCACGCCACCGCCCCGUCCUCAACCCGUGACCACGACAAAUCCGGUCACCGCGCCCUUUCCCCCACCCCAGCCUGUUGGAUCGAUGGAUCCAGAGAGAGGCGACCUCCU
rnacentral:rRNA from 1 species